AAUCCCUCAAAGCAGCUUGUGUUCCGUGUGAAAGAGGUGCAGUGUCUGUGACAACAUUUACUCCAUUCAAUCUCCUCACAGGAUGCUGAUGUGAUGAACAGUAUGCAUAGCUGUUGAACUUCCAUGGCAGGGGGUGGAACUGGACAAUCCUUUAGAGCUCUUGCAACCCAAUUAAUUCCACAGUUCUGUGAUUCCAUGGAAGAGUUUAAGACACCAUGACCAUGCUCUGCCACCUCUUACUUUACUAUUCCAGACUACAGUGGACUGGAAUCUCAAUAGAAGGGAAUAACAGGAAGCAAUACCAGGUAUUGCUCUCUAUGUUGAAGUUGAUUGUAAAGAAGAGCUUGAACAUUUGCUAAUGAAUAAUAUGAGAAGCUUUACUGAUAGGUCAGAAAGCCAACACUUGUGAGAAGAAGUAACACACUCUCCUGGACAGAGACUAUUCCUAGCAAGGGCAAAUCUGAUUUUGAUAGAAAGAAAGAGGCAAUUUUACAGCAACAACAAAAAGAAGUGAGCUGAAGAAAUUGAGCAUUGGUCUAAGAUGCUGUCUUAUGUUACCACUCUAAGAAGUGAGACUGUGGUAAAACAUUUCAAAAUAAAAAAAUCAAAUUAAAAAAUAAGAGUCUUCAAAUAUCCAGGAAACUCUGUUUUGCUUUCUGAGAAUGAGUGAUUAAAAUAUUUGACUGCAUAAUUUUAAACAAUUGAAAUGUGAUUUUGAUGUGAUGAAAUAAGUUAUGUGAUUUUCUUUGAU